UACGUAGGGGGCAAGCGUUGUCCGGAAUUAUUGGGCGUAAAGAGCGUGUAGGCGGUCCGGUAAGUCAGCUGUGAAAGUCAAGGGCUCAACCCUUGAAUGCCGGUUGAUACUGUCGGGCUAGAGUCCGGAAGAGGAGAGUGGAAUUCCCGGUGUAGCGGUGAAAUGCGCAGAUAUCGGGAGGAACACCAAUGGCGAAGGCAGCUCGCUGGGACGGUACUGACGCUGAGACGCGAAAGCGUGGGGAGCAAACAGG
rnacentral:rRNA from 1 species